UACAGAGGUCUCAAGCGUUGUUCGGAUUCAUUGGGCGUAAAGGGUGCGUAGGCGGCGCGGUAAGUCGGGUGUGAAAUUUCGAGGCUUAACUUCGAAACUGCAUUUGAAACUGCCUUGCUCGAGUACUGGAGAGGAGACUGGAAUUUACGGUGUAGCGGUGAAAUGCGUAGAUAUCGUAAGGAAGACCAGUGGCGAAGGCGGUCUCUGGACAGUUCCUGACGUGAGGCACGAAGGCCAGGGGAGCAAACGGG
rnacentral:rRNA from 1 species